GUAGGGAGCAAGCGUUGUUCGGAAUUAUUGGGGCGUAAAGAGCGCGUAGGCGGCCAGGUAAGUCUGAUGUGAAAUCCCACAGCUCAACUGUGGAACUGCAUUGGAAACUGCUUGGCUAGAGUGCGGGAGAGGAGAGUGGAAUUCCCAGUGUAGAGGUGAAAUUCGUAGAUAUUGGGAGGAACACCAGUGGCGAAGGCGGCUCUCUGGACCGCAACUGACGCUGAGGCGCGAAAGCUAGGGGAGCGAACGGGAUUAGAUACCCCGGUAGUCCUAGCCGUAAACGAUGGGCACUAGGUGUGGGAGGUAUCGACCCCUUCUGUGCCGCAGCUAACGCAUUAAGUGCCCCGCCUGGGGAGUACGGUCGCAAGACUA
rnacentral:rRNA from 1 species